GAUGAACGCUGGCGGCGUGCCUAAUACAUGCAAGUCGAGCGAACGGACGAGAAGCUUGCUUCUCUGAUGUUAGCGGCGGACGGGUGAGCAACACGUGGAUAACCUACCUAUAAGACUGGGAUAACUUCGGGAAACCGGAGCUAAUACCGGAUGAUAUUUUGAACCGCAUGGUUCAAAAGUGAAAGACGGUCUUGCUGUCACUUAUAGAUGGAUCCGCGCUGCACUAGCUAGUUGGUAAGGUAACGGCUUACCAAGGCAACGAUGCAUAGCCGACCUGAGAGGGUGAUCGGCCACACUGGAACUGAGACACGGUCCAGACUCCUACGGGAGGCAGCAGUAGGGAAUCUUCCGCAAUGGGCGAAAGCCUGACGGAGCAACGCCGCGUGAGUGAUGAAGGUCUUCGGAUCGUAAAACUCUGUUAUUAGGGAAGAACAUAUGUGUAAGUAACUGUGCACAUCUUGACGGUACCUAAUCAGAAAGCCACGGCUAACUACGUG
rnacentral:rRNA from 1 species